rnacentral:misc_RNA from 1 species
AAAAAAGAGCCCACAAAUGGUCAACCAAGAAGAUCUAAUGUGGGGUUCUAAAAGGUCUCACUUGCCACCCAAGGUCGGGAACUGCCCAGGAUCUUCUAUGGAAGGAGCUACCACAUUGCUCGUUGCAUCUCUGUUACUGAAUCCUCUGGCACCACGACCACGCCCUCGCCCACGACCACCUGGGCUGUAGUACCUUUCCCCUUCAGCAGGCUUCAA